rnacentral:rRNA from 1 species
GAUGAACGCUAGCGGGAGGCUUAACACAUGCAAGUCGAGGGGCAGCACGGGGUAGCAAUACUCUGGUGGCGACCGGCGCACGGGUGAGUAACGCGUAUGCAACCUGCCUUGUAUUGGGGGAUAGCCCGGAGAAAUCCGGAUUAAUACCCCAUAACGAUAUAGAAUGGCAUCAUUUUAUAUUUAAAGAUUCAUCGGUACAGGAUGGGCAUGCGUAACAUUAGCUAGUUGGCAGGGUAACGUCCUACAAAGGCAACGAUGUUUAGGGGUCCUGAGAGGGUGAUCCCCCACACUGGUACUGAGACACGGACCAGACUCCUACGGGAGGCAGCAGUGAGGAAUAUUGGUCAAUGGGCGCAAGCCUGAACCAGCCAUCCCGCGUGCAGGAAGACGGCGCUAUGCGUUGUAAACUGCUUUUCCAGGGGAAGAAAACUUCCGUCGUGACGGGACUUGCCGGUACCCUGGGAAUAAGCAUCGGCUAACUCCGUGCCAGCAGCCGCCGUAACAC